AUUGAACGCUGGCGGCAGGCCUAACACAUGCAAGUCGAGCGAGCGGCGGACGUGUGAGUAAUGUCUGGGAAACUGCCUGAUGGAGGGGGAUAACUACUGGCAACGGUAGCUAAUACCGCAUACCAUCAGAUGUUCCCAGAUGGGAUUAGCUAGUAGGUGGGGUAACGGCUCACCUAGGCGACGUUCCCUAGCUGGUCUGCGAGGAUGACCAGCCACACGUGACCUGAGACACGGUCCAAACUCCUACGAGAGGCAGAAGUGGGGAAUAUUGCACAAUGGGCGAAAGACUGAUGCAGCAAUGCCGCGUGUGGGAAGAAGGCCUUCGGGGUGUAAAGAACUUUCAGCGGGGAGGCGUUACCGGCAGAAGAAGCACCGGCUAACUCCGUGCCAGCAGCCGCGGUAAUAC
rnacentral:rRNA from 1 species